GCUGGCAGCUAGCUCUCUGCAACUCUCACAUAGUCACCGGCUGAAGCUAAGCAGGGCUGCGCCUGUUAAGCACCUGAAUGGGAGACCACAUGGGAAAGCUAGGUUGGUGCCAGAA
ensembl:rRNA 5S_rRNA 5S ribosomal RNA